UGCAGCGAGACACCUGGACCUGGUGCUGUUCCCUUGGGUGAGGAGCAGAGGGUCACAUCCUGGUGCCCAUCAGCUGCGACUUGAAAUAAAAUGUCCCAGAACUGAAUAGCAUGAAACUGUUUAUCGUGCCUGUGAAAACGUUGGGACAGGCAGGCAAGAGUGUGGAGCAAUCAUUUGCACAAGCAUCAAGGGCCAAGAAGUUUCAGCCAGAGCUGGCUAAGGUUCACUGACAGGGCUACAGUUUAGCGCAGGUGGAUUCUGUGUUCUGUCUCCAUACAUCUCUUCCAGCUGUCAUUUUAAAAAGACAAAUACUGAGUGCAGUUCUGAGGAGAGAUGUGUACGUCCUGUGCUGCUCCACACCAGCUGGGCUGCAGGAAGGCUCUUCUCUUUGGGCUUUCCUGAGGCUGCAGGUCCCUGAAGAGCUCCCUCCGUGGUGCUUCUCACCACCAAAGGCAGUCACGGCCAUGGGUGUUUCCAUAAAAGCUUGGGAUAACCACAUUAAGGAAGAUGGCCUGAAAAAAAAAAAGAAAAAAAAAAAAAGAAAAUUAUACUGAGCACACCUAAAAGCACUACCCUGGGGCAAAAGUGUGAAGUCACUGCAGAAACAAAGGA
rnacentral:lncRNA from 1 species